UGGGGAAUUGUUCGCAAUGGGCGAAAGCCUGACGACGCAACGCCGCGUGGAGGACGAAGAUCUUCGGGUCGUAAACUCCUGUCGAGCGGGAAGAACAGCGUGCCGGUUAAUACCCGGUGCGCCUGACGGUACCGUUAGAGGAAGCCCCGGCUAACUCCGUGCCAGCAGCCGCGGUAAUACGGGGGGGGCAAGCGUUGUUCGGAUUUACUGGGCGUAAAGGGCUCGUAGGCGGCCAUCUAAGUCGGUUGUGAAAUCCCUCGGCUCAACCGGGGAACUGCGACCGAUACUGAGUGGCUUGAAGCCGGGAGAGGGAUGCGGAAUUCCAGGUGUAGCGGUGAAAUGCGUAGAUAUCUGGAGGAACACCCGUGGCGAAGGCGGCAUCCUGGACCGGUCUUGACGCUGAGGAGCGAAAGCUAGGGGAGCAAACGGG
rnacentral:rRNA from 1 species